GGGGGUAUAGCUCAGCUGGGANNAGAGCGCUUGCAUGGCAUGCAAGAGGUCAUCGGUUCGAUCCCGUUUACCUCCACCA
rnacentral:tRNA from 1 species